ACGGGUGAGUAAUGCCUAGGAAUCUGCCUGGUAGUGGGGGAUAACGUUCGGAAACGGACGCUAAUACCGCAUACGUCCUACGGGAGAAAGCAGGGGACCUUCGGGCCUUGCGCUAUCAGAUGAGCCUAGGUCGGAUUAGCUAGUUGGUGGGGUAAAGGCUCACCAAGGCGACGAUCCGUAACUGGUCUGAGAGGAUGAUCAGUCACACUGGAACUGAGACACGGUCCAGACUCCUACGGGAGGCAGCAGUGGGGAAUAUUGGACAAUGGGCGAAAGCCUGAUCCAGCCAUGCCGCGUGUGUGAAGAAGGUCUUCGGAUUGUAAAGCACUUUAAGUUGGGAGGAAGGGCAGUAACUUAAUACGUUGCUGUUUUGACGUUACCGACAGAAUAAGCACCGGCUAACUCUGUGCCAGCAGCCGCGGUAAUACAGAGGGUGCAAGCGUUAAUCGGAAUUACUGGGCGUAAAGCGCGCGUAGGUGGUUUGUUAAGUUGGAUGUGAAAUCCCCGGGCUCAACCUGGGAACUGCAUUCAAAACUGACAAGCUAGAGUAUGGUAGAGGGUGGUGGAAUUUCCUGUGUAGCGGUGAAAUGCGUAGAUAUAGGAAGGAACACCAGUGGCGAA
rnacentral:rRNA from 1 species